UUUAAGGCUUUCGACCAAGUCGUUAAUUCAGAUAUUCUUAAUCGAGAUAAGUGAAGAUUCCAAGAAAGAUCGAUCGAUGGCUUUCUUGAGAACUGCACUUUUUCUAAUGUUUUCGAUUUUGUCUGUGUCGAUGUUUAUUCAAGAAGGAAAUGCAACGAGACCUUUGGGAAUGGCACAAUGGACUUCUCCAUUAUUGGCCUCUCUUCCAAGGGGUGGUGUGCCGUCCUCCGGUGGCUCUAAGUGCACUUAUAUUCCCG
rnacentral:lncRNA from 1 species